rnacentral:tRNA from 1 species
AUGCUCAGGUGGGAUUUGAAGCCACGACUCUUGUAUGCUAGACAAGGGCUCUACCAACAAAGCUAUCGUUCC